rnacentral:rRNA from 1 species
UACGUAGGUGGCGAGCGUUGUCCGGAUUUACUGGGCGUAAAGAGCGCGCAGGCGGUCCUACAAGUCGCGUGUGAAAGCCCCCGGCUCAACUGGGGAGGGUCACGCGAUACUGCUCGACUUGAAGGCAGGAGAGGGAAGUGGAAUUCCCGGUGUAGUGGUGAAAUGCGUAGAUAUCGGGAGGAACACCAGUGGCGAAGGCGACUUCCUGGCCUGUUCUUGACGCUGAGGCGCGAAAGCUAGGGUAGCAAACGGG